AACUAAAAGUUUGGGAAUGUUGUUCCCCAACGGUUUCUCAGAUGAAGUACGUGUUUCAAACUCUGAUGAAUCAUUACUCUUGCUUUUCAAGGAUCUCAGGUACGGUUUCCCAGAUGAUUUGUGUGUUUCAAGCUCUGAUGAAUCAUUACUGUUGCUUUCCAAAGAUCUCAGGUAGUCUGCACUUACUUUAGAGUUUAUCUGAGCCAUGAAAGCACAACGGGAUAGGGCCACUCUGGAUGCUCUCUCCUUCUGAUAAGCACGUAAGCCAGGG
rnacentral:lncRNA from 1 species